CACGCAGGCGGUCUUGCCAGUCAGGGGUGAAAGCCCGAGGCUCAACCUCGGAACUGCCUCUGAUACUGUAAGACUUGAGACUAGGAGAGGGUGGUGGAAUUCCCAGUGUAGAGGUGAAAUUCGCAGAUAUUGGGAGGAACACCAGAGGCGAAGGCGGCCACCUGGACUAGAUCUGACGCUCAGGUGCGAAAGCGUGGGGAGCAAACA
rnacentral:rRNA from 1 species